GGCCUAAUGGUCUAGUAGUAUGAUUCGCGCUUCGGGUUCUACCCGCUUCCAAAUUAAAGGAAGCUCAGAUGUGCGAGGUCCCGGGUUCAAUUCCCGGUUGGGCCC